GGGCUGAUGGCGAAGCUCGGUAUCGCGCUCCCAUGGCAUGGGAGAGACCUCGGGUUCAAAUCCCGAUCAGUCCA
rnacentral:tRNA from 1 species